rnacentral:rRNA from 1 species
GAGUUUGAUCAUGGCUCAGAUUGAACGCUGGCGGCAUGCCUUACACAUGCAAGUCGAACGGCAGCACGGGAGCUUGCUCCUGGUGGCGAGUGGCGAACGGGUGAGUAAUGCAUCGGAACGUAUCCUGGAGUGGGGGAUAACGUAGCGAAAGUUACGCUAAUACCGCAUAUUCUGUGAGCAGGAAAGCGGGGGACCUUCGGGCCUCGCGCUCUUGGAGCGGCCGAUGUCGGAUUAGCUAGUUGGUGGGGUAAUGGCUCACCAAGGCGACGAUCCGUAACUGGUCUGAGAGGAUGAUCAGUCACACUGGAACUGAGACACGGUCCAGACUCCUACGGGAGGCAGCAGUGGGGAAUAUUGGACAAUGGGCGAAAGCCUGAUCCAGCCAUGCCGCGUGUGUGAAGAAGGUCUUCGGAUUGUAAAGCACUUUAAGUUGGGAGGAGGGCAGUAAGUUAAUACCUUGCUUGUUUGACGUUACCGACAGAAUAAGCACCGGCUAACUCUGU